GCGGAUGGCUGGAUGACCGCGGGCGGCAACGUUCGAGGAAAGUCCGGACUCCAUGAAGCAAGGGCGCCGGGUAACCCCCGGCGGGGGCAACCCCAGGGAAAGCGCCACAGAGAACGAGACCGCCCCAGGUUCGCCCGGGGCAAGGGUGAAACGGUGGGGUAAGAGCCCACCGCGGGACGGGCAACCGGACCGGCAUGGCAAGCCCCGCCCGGAGCAAUGCCGAAUAGGGGCCUCGCGCGGGGCAGGUCGGGAAACCGAUACCGCCGCAGGGACGCUUCAGCCCGAGAGGCCCGGGUUGGCAGCUUGACCGCCGCGGCAACGCGAGCGGCAGAGGAAUGGUCAUCCAGGGCGGCAACGCCUGGACAGAAUCCGGCUUACAGGCCAUCCGCGCAA
rnacentral:RNase_P_RNA from 1 species